rnacentral:misc_RNA from 1 species
CCACCUCAACUCCUCAUGGUUUGCUGUGAUGAGCUUGGACUUUGGGGGUCUUGCUGGCCUAUGGUUGGCUCCUCCCAAAUGGAUCAGCUUGCCAGUGUUUGGUGGCAUCACAGGUGUGAUAAAUAUCUACGCUUGUAGUUUCCACCAUAUAGCCUUCAGCGAUGAAGGUUCUCUGGAGCUCACAAAUGUCCCUCCUCAGCGAGGACAGCUUUUUGAAC